CCAUGUCUUACUGAUAGUUGCCAUUCUGAUUCUUCCUUGAUUGAAUCAUAUUAUAUAGUGGUAAUAGUUCACUGGAUAGUUGUGGUGAUGUCCCUGCCUGUAACUAGACUCUUGUGGUUCUGCUCAGGACUGGGUCUUGGCCCCCACUGGAUACUCAGCCUACUACUGUGACGGAGAGUGCUUUUACCCUCUGGGCUCCUGCAUGAACGCCACCAACCACGCGCUCAUCCAGCAAGUGGUCCACCUGCUGAAGCCGGACGAGGUUCCUAAAGCGUGCUGCGCCCCCACCAAGCUCAGCCCCAUCUCCGUCCUCUUCUACGACGACAACAACAACGUCAUCCUCAAAAAACACCGCAACAUGGUGGUUAAGACCUGUGGGUGUCUAUGAGAGGGGAAAAGGUUCCACAUGGAAAGUUAUGAGUCAAAUUUGUAUCAAAAUGUACAUGGUGGAUUAUUUCUUUCCAGACAUGCACUCUUCCAGCAGUAAAUAUUUCUGUAAACAAGUUGGAUUACAAAGCAAGAUCAAUCUAAUUGAACAUAUAUGUAAUACUAGUGUUUGAGUUCUGAUUGAGUAUCAGUGGCUUGUGUGUUUCCAAUCCAUUGAUUCCAAAUCAAAACUUUAGCUUUUGAAAUGACAGCUGUCAUUUAAAAAGCUAGUUAGUUUGUUUCCAAAUUGUAUGAUUGGCCUUUGCACUCGAGAGCAGAAACCUGUAUUUGACAACCUUUACCCAACUUGGGAAACCCACAGCUCUUUUGGUUUCUUAACAGCAGUCUUCUCAUAGAUGGGUUUGAAUUGCAGAACAUGCUAAUGAUGACUGUAAACAAGACAUUAAAGGACAACAGUACUAUUGUUGCAGCUCUAAAGUCUAUAUAAAGAGAAUAUGUAUAAUUGUUUUGAAUUAAUAAAAUAAGUUCACAUUUU